AGAAUGACCCUGGAGGAUGGAUCACUUGGCUCACAUUACGAAGACGAACGCAGCUAGACGCGUGAUUCCAUGCGAACUGCAGGACACAUGGAACGUCUAUAUUUUGAACGCAAAUUGCAGUCCAGCCUUUGAGCUUGGACUACGUCUGGCUGAGAGACGGAU
rnacentral:rRNA from 1 species